GCGCGCUGAUUGGCUGAGGAGGCUCUCUUAAACGGGCGCGCGGCCUGUGAGGAGGACUGAACAUGGCGGUGGUCUGCGAGCCCUGGCGCGGCCCAGGACCGGGUCUGCGGGGGCCUCCCCGUCCUUCGGGGGCCAUCCGGCGGGCGCUGUUGGCCAUGACACUUCCUACCUCCUUGCCUGCCCGAGCCGCCGGCAGCGGCCACGUCCAAGCGGCGGCUCGGGGAGCGCCAGCGCUGCCCUGCGCAGGGACCCUGCCCGCGGGUCGCUCCAUCCCCUCCCCGAGACAUGUAAUGCAAGAACAGGCAGCCCCGGAGGUCCCUCUCUGAGGAAACAAUCUCUGGAGACAUGCCAGGGGGUCCUGCGCUGGUGAGAGCAGGGACGCUGCUGCUGCUGAGCUUGUAACAGCGAUUAAUGGAGCCACGUUGGACCAGGAGAGACGCACAGCCAGCAGUGUGAGGCUCUGCCGUACCCUGCGUAUUCCCAGGCCUCUGCCUCAGUAAGGUUUGAUGACCCAAACUGGAGAGGAAAAAGGGAUGGGAGUGACAAGAGGCCGGUUUUGGCUGUGCUGCUGCCUCCAUGGCAACCCACUGGUUCAUCUUGCACAAGCUUGCAGCGGUGCAAGAGCCUGUUGGAUGAGACUCAAUGAAUGUAAUCUCUCUGUAAAUAUAGACUGUCACACUUGGGACUGCUGCCUUUUGUUCUUGGUCUGAUUUGUGUCUUCCUUCUGUUAAUUUGCAGAAUGGAAAUUAAGAACUAAUUUUUCUACCUAUAAUAUGCAAUGGGAUUAGACUAGAUUGCAUUUUUGAGGAAAACAAUAAAAAAAUAACUAUUCUGUCAUUCUUAGAAGAGGCUGUGUAUGUCACUGGCCAGAGUAGUUCAGCCUACAGAAGAGACUGAUAUUGGCUUGUGUCACCUGAGCUGCUGCUAGGUCUGACGUGGGCAUGGCUUUGGGGACUGUCCUCUGAACAGAGCCAGCCUUGAGGGGAAAGGCCAGAGGUCAUUGAGGUGCCUUCUCAGAAUCUCACUUCUGUAUCGUUCCUCUCGAGAACUGAGCAACAUGACCUCCAAAGGUCUGUGUUUUGUGUUGAUAGGUGAGGCUCUGCAGAAGGAAUUAAGGCCCCCAUGUUUUGCAGCUGGUUCCAUGAGAAAAAGUGGUUUUUCUGGCUGUGAUUUCAGUCAUGAUGCAAACUGCCCAGGGCUGAGAGCUGUGGCUUUCUUGUAGGAAGGGAGGUUUGGGGAGUAAUGGCCAUGACUUGCUGAAAACUCACAAAGCUCCUGACCUGAAACAGAGCUCUUUCAAAAGAAGACUCCCUUGGAUCAGAGCAAGCUGCAGAAGGGAGAGCUAGUGGUACUUUCAGCAACACAGACCCAGCAGGGAGUGUUUGUGCUUCAUCAGGGCUUUUAUAGUGCUGGAUAACUACAGUCGUGCAGGGAAAAGGCAGUCCUGCCUCCCCCAGCAGGCUGGCACAGAGCUCAGCCAAAGCUCCAGACGAGGAGUUCCUGCUCGCACCAAGUGGGUGCAGCAGUACGCUGUGUGCUGAGACGAUGCUCGGGAGCCUCUGUGCUGGUGCUACAGCUUUGCUCUGGGGGUGAGAACUCCAAAGUUCAUCCCAAAUUCAUAAUGGAAAUGUGAAACUAUUAAUCUAGAGAUACAAUGAGUAGAAUAGGUACCACCAGUGAGGUCCCUUUCCCCAGGAUGUGCUGACAUGGAGCUCCCACAAAGGGAUGGUGUUAGAUAACAAUCCUAAUGGGUGGCUCUUCCAGGCAAUUUGAUAGAUGUGCGCUAUCAAGCAUUGUCAGAAAUAGCUCUGUAUACAAAGCAAGCGUUUAUCAUCACAGACACCUUGCAGGUGGUCACUAAUUCGAUGACAUUGUAAGAAAGAAAUAGAUAACAAUUUCCUGCUUGCUGAUAGAAGGGAUGAUUGUUUAGAACAAAUUACACCUGUCUGUAGGCAAUUUUUUCAUGCAGGAGUUUUUGAUUUGAAGGUGCAGGAUGGCACAUCCAACUCCUCCAGCUGACCUGUGUAAUUCCACCAGAAAUCCAUGUUUCCUGGGUCAGCUGAAAGCAUAAGAAGGGGAAAUGAUUUUUAGCAUCACUGAAAGAGGUAUGGAGGAGUUGGUAAGUCAUUUGUCUUCUCUAGAUUAGUGAUUGAGAGAACUGCAGAUUCAAAGGUGAAAUGCGUGUCUGGAAACCUGACGUUUUGGUGGGUUUAGUUGAACAGGCUGCAUCUCCAAAUCUAAUGUUCAAUUGCAGUGCCUGCGGCUGGCAGUAAAGAUAUUCUGCACACCAAAAAUUGAUCUAUUUGUGGAAUUUGAGUCACUUUUGAAAACACAAGUAAGGCUCAGGGGUCAGGGGAAUAACAAGAAAAAGGUAUUUUCAAAAAAAAGACAUUCCUUGCUUAGUCGAUAGGACGAAUUGUCGUAGUCACUGUGCACAAACUGAGUUUGCAAUAUGAGUUCCCCCAUCUCAGUGAAUUGAGAGGGCCGUUGAGAGCCGCAGCCAGCCGUGCCGAGGGCUGCUGGCAGCACAGCCAUGGGGUGGCCCGGCCGGUGGAUGGGGUUUUUUGGUGCGGGGUGAGGACUCCCAUCGCAUGCAGAGAAGUGGUGCCUGCGCUGAAGAACUGCGAGUCCACCUGUGGAAAGAGAAGGAAUGGAUCGAGCAUAGGUGAGCACAGGGAUUCAGCUGCCUCCUGUGGCUCAUCAAACCCCUCUCUCUGGGGUUGCUGAUGGAACGAAUGCUCUGAGACCAGAGUUGCAAGGCUUGAAUUACCCCUCACUAGCUGGGGACGCAGCCUGCCAACGCUGCGUAAGCUUCUUUAACUUUGCUUCUUUCCUCCUCCUUUCUUUGUGGGCUUCUUACCAGUGGGGUUGUUUGUUUGGUGUUUUUUUGUUUGGUUGUUUUUUUGCUAACUGAUGAAGGUUUAACAUUUAAUUAACCUGACUGACAUCAUUUAGCAGUUGGGCACUCAGUGAGGUAUAAUGUAUUAAUUAGAUGAUGUGAAUGGUUGUGGUUUUCCAGGCUGGUGUCUGGCCGCAGGGAGGCUGUGCUGUGCAGAGUUUGGUGAUGUCUGCAGUGUUUUGGGCAGCUGGACUCUGCCUGUCACCGUCCGCCGCGACGCUGUGUCCCUGGCAGGACCUCACAGCCUUCCAGCUGAUCCCGUGUCAUGUGUCACUGCAUGUGAUGGGGAUUCCAGGAAACAAAUCAUACGCUGUUGUUUGCCAUGCAUUUAGCUGCAGCUUG